rnacentral:rRNA from 1 species
UACGUAGGGUGCAAGCGUUGUCCGGAAUUAUUGGGCGUAAAGAGCUCGUAGGCGGUCUGUCGCGUCGGCUGUGAAAACCCGCGGCUCAACCUCGGGCCUGCAGUCGAUACGGGCAGACUAGAGUGCGGUAGGGGAGACUGGAAUUCCUGGUGUAGCGGUGAAAUGCGUAGAUAUCCGGAGGAACACCAGUGGCGAAGGCGGCUUUCUGGACCACGACUGACGCUCAGAUGCGACAGCUAGGGGAGCAAACGGG